rnacentral:lncRNA from 1 species
AACCCAGGCGGUAUUGAGAAUAAACCUUGAUAAACUGUCAACCAAAGCCGGAUUUGCUGCAAAAUAGUAUCGCUAUCAGCCUCAUAGUCUCUGUAUCUUCUUCACCCCCCAGAACAACCCCAAACAUAUUCAACUUUUGCAGCAAAACAUCAAGCUGGAACCUCCAACUUCAAUUCCAUCCGCCACAUUUCAGCUUCCAACAGUAAACCCGAUUUGAAGAAUUAAAGCAAUUAAGGCGCAAACCAACCAGACCCAGAUCUCAACCAAAACCCACUUAACUACGGACUUCAGAGGAUUCAGCUCUGAAUAGAGAAAAACCCAAUUAAACCCAACCUUCAGAACCAAACCUUACAACUCAUAAACCAACAAGACCCACAUACCAGAAAGCAGAUCUCAAGCUUGGAAACAACCAAGUAUUGCUUCACUACAAAACUUUGGAGGAACCCAGAUCUUUUACUACACAAGCAAAGCGACACAGCAAAUCAAAAGUACCAACCAUUUCUCUCUCUGUGAAGAUCAAAAACGGAUUCAAGUAACCAACAUGAACAUGCACAGUUUAACUAUUACACGAGAUGGUACUUUUUUAUAUCUGUGGAGAAGAUUUUAUGGGUUUUUGGAAGGGGAGCUACCUGUUUCCAGUAAUGGAAAAAGUAGUAAUGGUGGUACUGCUGCUUGUUUUGAGUCUGCUAGUGAAGUAUUACUGCUUCUCUCUCUCUCUCUCUCUUACCUCUCUGCCCUGGCAAUUUGACCUGAUUGGAAUCAACGAUAAAUAUUGACCCGACCCGGUUUCUUUUUAUAAAUUAAAUUCAUGAAGUAAAAAAAUUCGGAACGGGUAUGGGUCAAAGUUCGGACCCCAUUGAUUUUACUAAAUUGCCCUCACCUUUAUAGUUAUUAUUACCAUUAUGCCCUCGCCUGUUGAAAGGAGCUUUUAGCCUUUUAGGGUUCCCUAUCAUUUUGAUUUUCCUACGUCAUCUCCAAUAAUAUCUUUUUUAUAUCCUUUUUUUUUUUUGUAACAUUUAAAUAUUUUCUAAUGUUAUUUUUUUAAAAAAAAUUAAUUUUAUUUUAUGAAUUUUAGAAUUUAAACACGGAUUUAUACCCAUCCAAAAAAAAAUAUUAUCCAAAUUUUUUAUUGAUACGAUAUGUUAUUUUUUUAUUCAUUUCUUUUAGGAUCAAUCGAAAAUUUACAAGUUCUACCGAUGAUACGAUGAAUCAUUCGUUUCAUAUAAAUGUGUAAAAAAUAGUAGUCUCAUUUAAAAACUAAGUACUCUCUUAUUUUUAAAAAAUUAAUCAUUAAUUAGAAUAAAUAUAUUAUUUAAAUUUAAUAUUUAAAAAAUUAUAAAUAAUUAUGUAUGUUAACUAAACGAAUUAUCACUUAUAUCUUAAUGUUUGUAUAUUGUUUAUUAUUAUGAUUUUUUGAGAAAAUUCUAAUGUAAUCUUAAUUUAAUUACAAUAUUAAUCAUAAGAUUUUAUAAUAAUUUUAAGUAAAGUUUUUUAAAUUUAUGAUUAAAUUUGUUAAAAAUUUGUAAUACAAAGUGUAAUAUUCACAGAGAAAGCAACACAUGUAUAGAUACAAUAGUAGAUUGUGUAACAACCCGGAAGUUAAAAUAAAAUAAAUUAUAAAUUGAAUGCAGAAUUGAAAUAAUAGAGUUAUAGUUUACAUUACUUACACAAUAAUUUAGAAUACCCAAUAGGGUCACAGAAUGAUCAUUAUAAAAGAACAAGCGAAAAAAUUAAGAAAUAAGUAAAAAAUAAACAAUUAGGUAUCCUAUGACGACCUUCACUAAUUUUUUAAGGGAGUUCGAGUGGUGAACUAUUCAUAACUCUCUUAUUGAUUGGGAUAUUGGUCCAUUUGAUUUAAAUGAUUAAUGAAAUUGUGAGUUACACUAACCUAGUAAGAAUAUCAUACUACUCACCGAUACAGAAAUAAAUGUUGGUAAAAAUCAUAAAAAUAACUAAUGGAGCUCUUAAUUUAAGUAAAUUAAUUUAUCAUAAAUAAAAUCAUUUAUUUCAUACUUAUCGUUUGUGAGAUUUUCAAAACUGACAUAUAGAGCCAAUAGUUCAACAACAUCAUAAUCUCAUAUUCAAGCAAGCAAGUACAACAACAUCAUAGUCUAUAGGGAUGUCUCAUUACACGUGAACACAUAUUAAAACUUGUCAACUAACCGACCGUCCUCAUACCCCGUCCGAUAUGAGUGCCAAAAAUACAAUCCAUCAAUAUCUCGUCCGGUAUGAGACGACGUUCAUGGUAGGGUUCUCUAUGUAUCCGGUCCGUCCACCAUCUCCCAAUAUAUCUAGUAAGACUAUCAUUCAUUCAUUCAUUUAACCAAUCAAUUUUCUGUUUACAUUUAAUUUUCAGUUUUACAAUUUAACUGUAAAUCACACAAGACAAGUAUUACAUACAUCAAGGAAACACAACUGAAUCAUCUUAUUAAUUUUCAGUGUAUUAUCAUGCAUUUAAAACUGUAAAAUCAAACGAUCAGUUAAAAUAGGACAAAUUGUA